rnacentral:lncRNA from 1 species
AAAUAAACAUUCAAAUGAAACUGAUAGUUAUAAACAGUUAGGAUGACAACUGGUAAAAUUAUAAACUAAAAGAUGAUACAAGUUUAGUUUACAUCUAAUAUAAUAUAAGUUACCCCAAAAGUAGAAUUAAGUAAACAAGAAGUUGUUGUUUUAUGAAUGCUUCAACUUCCUUAAAUUUGCUAUCUUCUUCCUUGAUUUUAAUUUUUUAUCCUUAUUUUGCUGAGACAAUGCUGUAGUAGAUGAUGACUUUGAAGGUACCUGUCAUUUUCAAACUUUAUAAAAUUAAAGAUUUUUCCCAAAAGUAUUUCACAAUUUGAUCAUCUAUUAUUGGUACAUCAUUUUUCUCUAUCUAUAUUUGGCUCUACAUGAUUAAAAAAAUAAUACUAACAAUAAAAAAAAAACUUGAGAAAACACUUAAUUGGUGUAGAAGAGUAAUCUUAUAAAGAAAAUCUUAUUGCCAAUACAUUAAAGAAUCGUAUAUGGCAAGCCAAAUAGGUAUAAAUAAAAAUAUUUAGGUAAGAAUGCAACAUCAAUUAAAUUUUUCAACGAAACAUAUCCGCAAUCAAUUCUUUCAUCCAUUAAAAAGAUAGAAAAAAUUCUAAAUGAAAGAAAGGAGAUUACAAGCACAUACUUGCUUUCAGUAUUACUUCAAAUUAACAAUAUAAUCAAAAGAUUACAAGCACAUAAUCAACCUCGAUGCACUUGCACAAAUUUUGCAUCCAAAGCUCUGAGGUUAAUCUAUUAAAUAGUUGGCAUCAAACUUGAAUUAAAUUAAAUUAUUAAGCAGUCAAUGAAUCACUGUUUACAGUAAAAUAAAUAUAAAGUUGAAAGAAAUAAAAGAUUAAGUAAAAAAUGAAAAAUAAAAUAGCGUACACAUUUAGAUUUUGUAUGGAGACUACUUGAACUUUUUUC